UACGAAGUGGGCUAGCGUUGUUCGGAAUUACUGGGCGUAAAGCGCACGUAGGCGGUCUAUUAAGUCAGGGGUGAAAUCCCGGGGCUCAACCCCGGAACUGCCUUUGAUACUGGUAGUCUCGAGUCCGGAAGAGGUGAGUGGAAUUCCGAGUGUAGAGGUGAAAUUCGUAGAUAUUCGGAGGAACACCAGUGGCGAGGGCGGCUCACUGGUCCGGUACUGACGCUGAGGUGCGAAAGCGUGGGGAGCAAACAGG
rnacentral:rRNA from 1 species